rnacentral:rRNA from 1 species
CCCUUAGAUGUUCUGGGCAGCACGCGCGCUACAAUGGUCUUCGCAAACGGAUGCAUUCUCGAAGGAGAAUGCCAAUCUUGGAAUCUAUGCCUUGGUCGGGACAGUUGCUUGCAAUUUUUCGACUCGAACCAGGAAUUCCUUGUAAUCGUGAUUCAUCACAUCACGAUGAAUACGUCUCUGCCCUUUGUACACACCGCCCGUCGCUACUACUGAUUGAACUGGUUUUUAAAGUGUAGAGAUUUGCGAGUAUAGGUUCGUGCAAACGGGCCAUUGCCAUUGCAGAGAACCACUCUGAAAAAAUCGUUUGAGAAGAAGUAAAAGUCGUAACA